AUCAAAAAGAAAAAUAAAAAUUUUUCCAAAUUUGAGAGUUGAAUGAACAGACCUUCAAGGCACUUGGGAAAAUUAGGGUUCAUUCUAAAGUUGUGCUUUCAGUUGCGGGAGGUGAGCAUAGGCCAUCUCUGACACUCGUUUCUGGAAGUGGAUUCUUUUAGCAAGGUUUGGACAAAAGAGAGACUCAUUGAUUAAGGCAACCUCACCUGACAGCAGCAACAAAAUCUACCAAAUACCGGAGUCAAGCGAUUCCAAAGAGUAGAACUCGGAGAGAAAGAGCAGAAGAAAAAUGGAACCUGAACUUUGCUCCAUUGUCGCCUCUCCUCUCCUUUCCUCGCUCCUCUCUCUCUCUCUCUCUCUCUCUCUCUCAAGGUUGAAAAUCCUUAACCCUGGCUGCCAGUGUUGGCUCUCUGUCUCCCCCUAAUGUCCCCCGUCUCUCCUCCUAUGUGUCGUUGUUGUUCUGAAUCGGUGGAUUCUGGCUCCUAUUCGUCCUUCUUGUAUGCUCUAAACUAGAGUAGCCACAUCGCAUUUUUGGUGUCUGCUUCUAAAAGUGGAGAAUCUUUGACGAGGGUUGUAUAGUCUGAAUCAAUUGUAGCCUUUGGAAGAAGCCCGACAUAGCAAGUAGGGAAGGGAUUUACGCAGGUGACGGCAUUGCAUUUUGGGAUUGACAUCGAAGUCGGUCAUCGGUGGAUUGGAAGCCUCGCAUAUCGGGUACAUAUAUGUCUUGGCUCAAAGUUGCAUUCAAGUAUUGGUGACGAAGAUUAUUCAAACGUGUCGAAGGAACCGCAGAAUGAAAAAGGUGAUUGUGGCCCAGCCGACAGUGAAUACCGAGGCUAGGAUGGUGGUGGAAGCGAUAUAGAUGCCUCAACAGAGGAUCAUGGAAACUCGAAGCAUAUCAUGGGUGAACAAUUCAGCAGUCUAAUGCUUCUGUGUUGUUAUCUGCAGAGUUUAAUGAGGUUGAAGAUGCGUAUGCAAGCUAUGUGGCGUAUGCAAAGAGUAUUGGUUUUGCGGUGAAAAAUGGAGAUUCUAUUAAAGACCAUCAGGAGAAUAUUGUGAGGAAGUUUUUCUACUACAAUUGGCAACAGUUGUGUGAAAAGAAGCAUUAUGAGAGAGUUGACAGAAAAAGACCCCAAAAAUCAAAGAUGAGAACAAAUUGCAAUGUCAAGUUUUUUGUUUCUGGACAAAAUUUAUGGGAAGUGGUGGACGAAGACAUUGGUUGAGGAUUAUAAUCAUGACUUGGCAUCCUUGGAGUUCACUAAUGUAAUAGCACCACAUAGGAAUAUCACAGAAGAGCACAAAGCGCAUAUACAUAGCAUGCAUGAAGUCGGGUUCUAGAAAACUCAAAUUAUGGGCUUCUUUGCCCAUAUGUGUGGUGGAUAUCGCAAUCUUAACUUCAAAAGUAAGAACUUGUAUAAUUAUAUGCAUGGAGUUAGGCCACAACCAUGUUCGACUCAAAUCAUGAUGAAUUAAUACCUUCGGAUUAGGCCACGACCGAAGAAAAUUGCACUACCAUGAACGAUGAUGUCGAUAAUGAAGUUUGUAUGUGUUGGUUAAUUCCUAGGAUUAUUGUGUGUCGUAUUCGUUGCAUGUGCUAAUGCUUCAUGUUCGUACUUGUUACUUAUUUGAUGAUAUCUGUAGUGCAUUAAUGUUCUAAACUUUAGUACUUGAUUUGAUUGACGAACCAAAUAUCAUUUUGCAGGAUGGUGGACCUAGCUAAAGGCGAGUUCAUUCUUUCGGAAAUAGGUCACGACUAAAUUAGUUGGAUGGACGUGACUGCUUGUGAAUAAAGUGUUCAACUAAUUAGGAUAAAGUCACAUGUUUUUAGUUUGCUUAUCCACUUUUACGAUUCUAGUUGUGUUGGCAUAUUAGACCUUAUUAUGAUAGGUUAAUAUGCUAUGAAAAAGGUUCUUAUGUAGUGUUU